rnacentral:lncRNA from 1 species
UCUAUACAGUGCUUCUUCUGCAGUGGCUUCUUUACUGCUUCCAAUGUUACGGUGACCCUGCAUGAGGACCGUGGUGGGACAACAUCUUUGUUCGGAUGCACGCACAACGGAAGUCGGCUUGGGGCUGAUACCCAAAAAGCAAUAUUCUUUUCCUCGAGGGAUAUCUGAAAGGCAAUGUAGUCAUCGGUAUCAUUGGUCAGUUUGAUUGAUCCUGACGUCUGCUUGUUAUGCUCAGCAGUGAAAUGCAGGUCCAGUGGCUCUAUCCCAAGCAUGUCCUCCAAGAAAGAGUUU